rnacentral:rRNA from 1 species
GAUGAACGCUGGCGGCGUGCCUAAUACAUGCAAGUCGAGCGAACGGACGAGAAGCUUGCGUCUCUGAUGUUAGCGGCGGACGGGUGAGUAACACGUGGAUAACCUACCUAUAAGACUGGGAUAACUUCGGGAAACCGGAGCUAAUACCGGAGAAUAUUUUGAACCGCAUGGUUCAAAAGUGAAAGACGGUCGUGCUGGCACGUAUAGAGGGAUCCGCGCUGCAUUAGCUAGUUGGUAAGGUAACGGCUUACCAAGGCGACGAUGCAUAGCCGACCUGAGAGGGUGAUCGGCCACACUGGAACUGAGACACGGUCCAGGCUCCUACGGGAGGCAGCAGUAGGGAAUCUUCCGCAAUGGGCGAAAGCCUGACGGAGCAACGCCGCGUGAGUGAUGAAGGUCUUCGGAUCGUAAAACUCUGUUAUUAGUGAAGAACAUAUGUGUAAGUAACUGUGCACAUCUUGACGGUACCUAAUCAGAAAGCCACGGCUAACUACGUG